AGUUCCAUCUACUUGGGAGGCUGAUGUGGGAGGAUCACUUGAGCCCAGGAGGUUGAGGUUGUGGUUCAGUGAGCUAUGACUGUACCACUGCACUCCAGCUGGGUGACAAGAAAAAGUUAACCGCAACUACUGAGACUCAGUGAGACACAUGAAGGUUCUCCCAUAAAACGCCCAUAAUUUAAAAGACAAAAAAACUUCAACACAAUACUGCCAUAUCUGGUGGUAAAGAAAAUAAAUUUACAAUCCUAAGGAGGAAAAAUAAACUAAAGUACAAUACCUCAAAACCAGAAUCUCAACCUGGGUACAGUGGCAUGUGCCUGCAGUCCUAGCUACUCGGGAGGCUGAGGCAGAAAUAAAUAUCAUAGAUGCUUAAAAAUGCCCCACUAUGACUUUUAGGAAUCCCUGUGAAGAUAUAAAAAAGAAAUCUAUAGAGUAAUGAAUCCUGGGCGAAUAUAAUUAAAGAAAAAAGUUAAAGCUUUCAUAAAAGACAAGUUCACUAACUGCAUGGUUUCAUGAAGACAUCAGUUAGACAAAAAUCUCCUAUUUUCAGACCAGAAGGUCAUCUCUGACACCUAUCAACUUUCUCUAUUGUGAGCACCUAAAGAAGAUAAGCAAGGACAAUGAUUAAUCAACAAGUAUAUGAGGAUUAAGGAUGAGGAACAAGAUUUGGAACUAGGCUCUGUCCUCUGAGAUUCACCUCACUGUUGGAAUUUCUAGCUAAUUACUGUUUUCCACCACAUAUUAGGUGGUAAUUAAGACCUUGGCAUCUGUCUUCAAAUCUUAGCUCUGUCCCUUCUUAGCUAUGUGACCCUCAGCAAAUGACUUUUCUCUAGCUUCAGUUUUCUCAUUUCCAAAAUGAGAAUAAUCAUCCACAUAACUACUGUCAACAUUAAAUGAGAUAAUAUAAGUAAACCACUUACUAUAAUGCCUGACCCAUAGUAACUGCUCCAUAAAUGUUAGCUGACAUUAUCAUAUUAUCAUCUGUAAAAUGGGGAGACCAAUUCACACACCCAUAAGAUUGUAAAGAAGCAAAAUGACACAUACAAUGCCUAGGUACACAGGAGGCACUCAAUGGUAGAUAAUGUUAUCCCCUACACUUUUUGGGAACUCCGUAUCAUUCAGUGUCAAACUGAGUAUGAAAUAGUACAGUGCAGAAAUUAAGAACACUAUAAAGCUGGAUUUCCUGAGUUCAAAUCCUGGCUCUGCCACUUAGUAUCUGUGUGAUCUUCGGCAAUUUAUUUCCCUUACUGUGUCUUUCUAUUUUCAUCUGUAAAAUGGGAAAAAUAAUAAGUAUCUAUCUUACUGGGUUGUUGUGGGGAUAAUACAAGCCCUCUUUUAAGUGCUUUAUAUAUAAAGUCCUAAAAAUAAAACCUGGAACAUAAGUGCUAUAUAUAUAAAUAUUAACUAUUAUUAUCUUAAUAACAGAGGUAUACAUGCUUUGAGGCUGCUUUACAUCAAAGAAAUGAAUUUGGACAUAAGCAACUUAAUAUUUUUCUUGCAUUUAAGAGAGGCCCAAUGGAAAUAUUCAUAUACCCAUCUUCAAAAAUGGGAGGAAAAAAGGCUGAAGGAAUAGCAAAUUACAACACAGGAACUAUAUUACUACUAAGUAAAUGUGACCUCAUCCAUCCAGAAACAGGUAUGAAGGAAAUGUAUUUUCCAGGUCUGCCUUAACCAUGUAAUCACUCAGAUAAAGGUGUCCUACAUUACAGAGAGAGAGAGGAAAAUUUUUCUUGCUCUUACCUCACAACAAACUGAUAACCAACACAGCUAACCUUUGUGCAUUCUCACAUAUUUUUCAGAUGAAGAAAACAUCUCUUAGGACAAAAUAAUCAAUUCUGGAAGCUUUCUUAGAAAUGCCUUCCUGCAUUAUACUAGUCUUUUCUUCCCAUAUUCCACAAACUUCAUCCCUGGGCAAGUCAGAAGAGGUAUCCAAAGAUGCAAACAUGCAAGCAAAUGUUAACUACUAUCCAGAUCAAGCUAUGGACACACAUUUAUUGCAGCCCACAGGAUUCCCUCAUGACCUUUCUCUCCAAAACAUACUUAACCAUUCUAAUCUCAGAGAGUAAUAUUUUUCACGUUAGGUUUUCCUUUUACCAUUAAUAAUCAAAUCCAGUUUUUACUUUCCUGUUUUCUUCAUAGUUUGCCAAUGUCUAUUUCAAUCAUAAGUAUUUUGGCUACAAUGACCCCAGGAAACAGAGAAAGUCUAUGUAACACACAAAAGACCUUACAAUUUAGAAUGCACACAAGCUUCCUAACAUUUUUAAAGGGACAGAAGACUGAGAAUGCUACUGUAAAAGAGACCAAAGGGAAACAUGAGAUUCAUUUUGACUUAAACAAAUCCUAAAGAAAAUGCACUAUACAGUUUCUUGGAAAAAAAAAAAAAAAA